rnacentral:rRNA from 1 species
UCGGGAAUUUUGGGCAAUGGGCGAAAGCCUGACCCAGCAACGCCGCGUGAAGGAUGAAGUAUUUCGGUAUGUAAACUUCGUAAGAAUAGGAAGAAUAAAUGACGGUACUAUUUGUAAGGUCCGGCUAACUACGUGCCAGCAGCCGCGGUAAUACGUAGGGACCAAGCGUUGCUCGGAUUUACUGGGCGUAAAGGGCGCGUAGGCGGUGUGUCAAGUCAGUUGUGAAAUCUCCGAGCUUAACUCGGAACGGUCAACUGAUACUGUCACACUAGAGUACAGAAGGGGCAAUCGGAAUUCUUGGUGUAGCGGUGAAAUGCGUAGAUAUCAAGAGGAACACCUGAGGCGAAGGCGGGUUGCUGGGCUGAUACUGACGCUGAGGCGCGAAAGCUAGGGUAGCAAACGGGAUUAGAUACCCUAGUAGUCCCUGAG